rnacentral:lncRNA from 1 species
ACAUUACCAUUUUUAUUUUUUAUUUUUAAACUGCAAAAAUAAAUGAAAAACAGGGAACAUCGCUUUUAAUAAAAAACAUCCAUUUAUUAAUGAUGCAAAAUGUUGCACAAUGUAACACUUGAGAUGGCCCUUACAAUGGACCAUUACACUUCGGGCAAAACGUAUGGCUUUCAUGCAAACAGAAUUGAAAUACAGAAAUACUACUCUGCGUGAUGAGUGACAGUGAUGAUCUUUG